rnacentral:rRNA from 1 species
UACGAAGGGGCUAGCGUUGUUCGGAUUUACUGGGCGUAAAGCGCACGUAGGCGGAUCGUUAAGUCGGGGUGAAAUCCUGGAGCUCAACUCCAGAACUGCCUUCGAUACUGGCGAUCUUGAGUCCGGAAGAGGUGAGUGGAACUCCUAGUGUAGAGGUGGAAUUCGUAGAUAUUAGGAAGAACACCAGUGGCGAAGGCGGCUCACUGGUCCGGUACUGACGCUGAGGUGCGAAAGCGUGGGAGCAACAGG